UACGUAGGGUGCAAGCGUUAAUCGGAAUUACUGGGCGUAAAGCGUGCGCAGGCGGUUUUGUAAGUCUGUCGUGAAAGCCCCCGGGCUUAACCUGGGAAUUGCGAUGGAGACUGCAAGGCUUGAAUCUGGCAGAGGGGGGUAGAAUUCCACGUGUAGCAGUGAAUGCGUAGAGAUGUGGAGGAACACCGAUGGCGAAGGCAGCCCCCUGGGUCAAGAUUGACGCUCAUGCACGAAAGCGUGGGGGAGCAAACAGG
rnacentral:rRNA from 1 species